UACGGCGGCCAUGGCGAAGGGGAAACACCCGGUAACAUUCCGAACCCGGAAGUUAAGCCCUUCAGCGCCGAUGGUACUGCACGGGAGACUGUGUGGGAGAGUAGGACGCCGCCGGAC
rfam:Mumia flava strain MTSC 201 Contig133, whole genome shotgun sequence.